rnacentral:rRNA from 1 species
AGGAUUCCCCUAGUAACGGCGAGUGAAGCGGGAAGAGCUCAACUUUGUAAUCUGGCUGCUUCGCAGUCCGAGUUGUAGUCUAUAGAAGCAUGAUCCGCGCCGGACCUUGGCCAUGUCUGUUGGAAAGCAGUGUCAAAGAGGGUGAUAAUCCCGUACAUACCAAGGACGACCGUGUGCAUUGUGGUCUGCUCUCUAAGAGUCGAGUUGUUUGGGAAUGCAGCUCUAAUCGGGUGGUAAAUUCCAUCUAAAGCUAAAUACCGACGAGAGACCGAUAGCGAACAAGUACAGUAAUGGAAAGAUGAAAAGUAGCCUGCAGAGGCAAUGAAACAAUACGUGAAACCGUUUGUAGGGAAACGAUGGAACCUUUUCACGCUGCAGGGGCUCAGCCUGGCUUCGGCUUGGUGUAUUCCCCUGUUUUGCGGGCCAGCAUCAGUUUGCUUUGCGGUAUAAGGGUGAUUGGAAUGUGGCUCCCACGGGAGUGUUAUAGCCUUUCACUGGAUGCCGCGUCGCAGACUGAGGACUGCAGUGCGCCAUUAGGCAUUACCCCCGGGUAACGAGCACUUAGGAUGCUGGUAGAAUGGGUUUCAACGACCCGUCUUGAAACACGGACCAAGGAGUCUAACAUGCCUGCGAGUGUUUGAGUGUCAAACUCGAGCGCGGAAUGAAAGUGAAUGAAGGUGGGAUCUGUCAAAGGUGCACCAUCGACCGGUCUUGAAGUUUACGGAUGGAUCUGAGUAAGAGCAUGUAUGUUGGGACCCGAAAGAUGGUGAACUAUGCCUGAAUAGGGUGAAGUCAGGUGAAAACCUGAUGGAGGCUCGUAGCGGUUCUGACGUGCAAAUCGAUCGUCAAAUUUGGGUAUAGGGGCGAAAGACUAAUCGAACCAUCUAAUGGCUGGUUCCUGCCGAAGUUUCCCUCAGGAUAGCAGAAGCUCAUAUUAGUUCGAUGAGGUAGAGCGAAUGAUUAGAGGUCUUGGGGAUGUAACAUCCUUAACCUAUUCUCAAACUUCCAAUAUGUCGGAUGCCGUUGUCGCUUAAUUGGACGACGGCUUUUGAAUAAGAGUUUCUAGUGGGCCAUUUUUGGUAAGCAGAACUGGCGAUGCGGGAUGAACCGAACGUGGAGUUAAGGUGCCGGAGUGGACGCUCAUCAGACACCACAAAAAGUGUUGAUUCAUCUAGACAGUUGGACGGUGGCCAUGGAAGUCGGAACCCGCUAAGGAUCGUGUAACAACGCACCAACCGAAUGAAUCAGCCUUGAAAAUGGAUGGCGCUUAAGCGUCCCACCCAUACUCCACCGUUGGCGUUGGAUCAUACGUCAACGAGUAGGCAGGCGUGGAGGUUUUGUGUUGAAGCCUUGGACGUAAGUCUGGGUCGAACAGCCUCUAGUGCAGAUCUUGG